rnacentral:rRNA from 1 species
CCUACGGGGUGCAGCAGUGAGGAAUAUUGGUCAAUGGACGAGAGUCUGAACCAGCCAAGUAGCGUGAAGGAUGACUGCCCUAUGGGUUGUAAACUUCUUUUAUAUGGGAAUAAAAUGUUCCACGUGUGGGAUUUUGUAUGUACCAUAUGAAUAAGGAUCGGCUAACUCCGUGCCAGCAGCCGCGGUAAUACGGAGGAUCCGAGCGUUAUCCGGAUUUAUUGGGUUUAAAGGGAGCGUAGGUGGAUUGUUAAGUCAGUUGUGAAAGUUUGCGGCUCAACCGUAAAAUUGCAGUUGAAACUGGCAGUCUUGAGUACAGUAGAGGUGGGCGGAAUUCGUGGUGUAGCGGUGAAAUGCUUAGAUAUCACGAAGAACUCCGAUUGCGAAGGCAGUUCACUGGACUGCAACUGACACUGAGGCUCGAAAGUGUGGGUAUCAAACAGGAGUAGAUACCCCAGUAGUC